rnacentral:rRNA from 1 species
ACAUGCAAGUCGAACGAAGUUAGGAAGCUUGCUUCUGAUACUUAGUGGCGGACGGGUGAGUAAUGCUUAGGAAUCUGCCUAGUAGUGGGGGAUAACUUGGGGAAACCCAAGCUAAUACCGCAUACGACCUACGGGUGAAAGGGGGCGCAAGCUCUCGCUAUUAGAUGAGCCUAAGUCGGAUUAGCUAGUUGGUGGGGUAAAGGCCUACCAAGGCGACGAUCUGUAGCUGGUCUGAGAGGAUGAUCAGCCACACUGGGACUGAGACACGGCCCAGACUCCUACGGGAGGCAGCAGUGGGGAAUAUUGGACAAUGGGCGAAAGCCUGAUCCAGCCAUGCCGCGUGUGUGAAGAAGGCCUUUUGGUUGUAAAGCACUUUAAGUGGGGAGGAAAAGCUUAUGGUUAAUACCCAUAAGCCCUGACGUUACCCACAGAAUAAGCACCGGCUAACUCUGUGCCAGCAGCCGCGGUAAUACAGAGGGUGCAAGCGUUAAUCGGAAUUACUGGGCGUAAAGCGCGCGUAGGUGGUUAUUUAAGUCAGAUGUGAAAGCCCCGGGCUUAACCUGGGAACUGCAUCUGAUACUGGAUAACUAGAGUAGGUGAGAGGGGAGUAGAAUUCCAGGUGUAGCGGUGAAAUGCGUAGAGAUCUGGAGGAAUACCGAUGGCGAAGGCAGCUCCCUGGCAUCAUACUGACACUGAGGUGCGAAAGCGUGGGUAGCAAACAGGAUUAGAUACCCUGGUAGUCCACGCCGUAAACGAUGUCUACCAGUCGUUGGGUCUUUUAAAGACUUAGUGACGCAGUUAACGCAAUAAGUAGA